CCUUGAGAGUCCUGAAGGAACGUUGAAGACGACGACGUUGAUAGGCCGGGUGUGUAAGCGCAGCGAUGCGUUGAGCUAACCAGUACUAAUGAACCGUGAGGCUUAACCUU
rnacentral:rRNA from 1 species